AAUAAUCUCCACUCGUUUGAUACGACAUCAAAUUAAUCUCUCCCAUAAAAGUAAUUAAGCCUGAAGUUGAGCAAAGCACAAUUAAGAAGCUCACAUACCUUUUACAAAUCUCUUCAUCGUGAUAAGUACAAAUCUGAAGGUCUUAUACUUGUUUACGAAGGGUAGAGGACUCCUUCCUAAGACAAUAGCGAUGGAUUUUGAUUGGACUUGUUAUUAUCAUUCUCGAAACCUGGAUCAAUUUCUUCGUUUGGUAUAUGUUGUAACUUGUAAGAUUAAUUUUGAAACGUUUCGGAUUGAGUUCAAACAUGUCUGAAUUCAAGCCGAAUCAUCAUGCCUCAAGUUUUUUGAGGAGCAACGCAUCUCAACUCUCUCGAACUUUACUGAAAAACUUGCCUCAACUCUCUCAAACGUCAUUGAAGAACACACCUCGGUAGUUUCAA